rnacentral:rRNA from 1 species
UGGGGAAUAUUGCACAAUGGGCGCAAGCCUGAUGCAGCCAUGCCGCGUGUGUGAAGAAGGCAUUCGGGUUGUAAAGCACUUUCAGCGGGGAGGAAGGCGGUGAGGUUAAUAACCUCACCGAUUGACGUUACCCGCAGAAGAAGCACCGGCUAACUCCGUUCCAGCAGCCGCGGUAAUACGGAGGGUGCAAGCGUUAAUCGGAAUUACUGGGCGUAAAGCGCACGCAGGCGGUCUGUUAAGUCGGAUGUGAAAUCCCCGGGCUCAACCUGGGAACUGCAUUCGAAACUGGCAGGGUAGAGUCUUGUAGAGGGGGGUAGAAUUCCAGGUGUAGCGGUGAAAUGCGUAGAGAUCUGGAGGAAUACCGGUGGCGAAGGCGGCCCCCUGGACAAAGACUGACGCUCAGGUGCGAAAGCGUGGGGAGCAAACAGG